AAUAGGAGGUGGAGGAAAACGUUUGUAUGUCAGCGCGAGGGAGUAUUAUUGAUAUAUUAUGCAGAUCCGGGAUGGAGUUUUUAAUAUAUUCUUUUAUGGUGGGAGGCUUUUUCAGCAAUGGAUAGUGGAUAUGUAUGUCAAAAUAUAGAGUAUGCGGCUAGAUUGGUACUCCAAUCCAAAACACCAAAAAAUUAUUAGAGCUGACCUCUAUCAGGGUAUAAUGGACACCCUUGCUGCCGGAGAGCAUAGGGGUUUGAAGGCUGGUAAAUUGGUUGUUUUAUCUAAGAAUUUUCCUGGAAGUGAUAGAGAUGUGCAGUGCAGAUUCAUGGAUGCAAUGUCAUUAGUUGCUAAAUAUGGAAAGCCAGAUUACUUUUUAAUCAUAAAUUGCAAUCCCUACUAGCUGGAGAUCACAGAACUUUUGUUGACUGGACAGACACCUCAAGAUAGACCAGAUAUUGUGGCGCGGGUUUAUCAUGCAAAACUCAUUGAUUUUCAUGACUUUGUUAUUAAGAAGAGGUACUUUGGGAAAGUGGCAGCUUGGGCACAUGUUACCGAGUUUCAGAAAAGAGGUUUGCCGCAUGAACAUUUCUUGCUUAUAAUGGAAAGCAGUUCAAAGCUUAGUGGGCCAGAUGAUUUUGACAAAUAUAUUUCAGCAGAACUUUCGGAUGAAAAAAAUACCCUCUUCUCCACGAACUUGUCUGCAAACAUAUGAUGCAUGGCCCUUGUGGUGUUCUUAAUAGAAAAUGUGGUUGCAUGUAGGAUGGUGCAUACCGUUUCAGAUACCCUAAAUAGUUCAGUGAGACCACGGAGCAAGGAAAGGAUGCAUAUCCUAUAUACAGAAGACGAAAUGAUGGUCACAAGGUAUUUGUGUGUAAGAAAUGGUUGGAUAAUAGAUGGGUUGUACCAUAUAAUCCAACACUUCUGAUGAGAUAUAAUUGCCACAUCAAUGUUGAAGUUUCAAACAGUAUCAAAGGUUGUAAGUAUCUUUAUAAAUAUAUAUACAAGGGCACAGACUGCAUCAUUCGCAGUUGCGAAUCAAGAUCAGAAUGGAGAGAUAGACAUAAAUGAAAUUAAAUAGUACAGGAAAGCACGGUGUAUAACGUCUAUUGAAGCAGUAUACCGGCUCUAUAGGUUUCCAAUGUUUUCUAUGUAUCCCCAUGUUUUACAGAUGCAAGUUCAUCUUCCUGGCAUGGACAUGGUGACAUUCAAUGAUGACGACAACCUUGAAGAUGUGCUGGAACGCGCUAGGAACCAAAGAUCGAUGCUAACAGAAUUCUUCAGAAUGAACAGUGAAGAUCUAAAUGCUCGAAGAUACUUAUACAGGGAAUUUCCAGAACAUUAUACAUGGAACAAGUCCAAAAAAGUUUGGUCUACUAGAAAAAGAAGUUACUAGAUUGGAAGGUUGGUGUAUGCGUACCCGCCUGAGGGCGAAAGAUUCUAUCUUCGAGUUCUUCUAAAUCGUGUUCGAGGUCCAACAUCAUUCAUAUCAAUCAGAACAGUUCGUGGUGUAGUGAGUCCUACUUUUAGAGAAUGCUGUUAAAAACUUGGUCUUAUUAAAACAGAUAGGUCACUCGACAAUGCACUUAGCGAAGCAGUAGCUUUUCAGAUGCAAUGUGCUCUCACAAGAAUAUUUGCCACAAUUAUGGUUUUCUACGAGUACACAAACAUUCGUACCCUCUGGGAUAAACAUUUUGAAUCAAUGGCUGAGAAUUAUGUACGUGUUCA